CACCCAUUCUUGGGACCUGGACUAUGAUGGCCACAGCAGCUAAAGAUGCCAGAUACUCCUUCAGGUUCUGCAUACUAUGAAACUACUACAUCAGCAGGUCCAAAGGACUCCACUGACUCAACUGAUCUGAGGGACCCCAUGAGAAGCCUACUCAUCAAAGAAUGCAGUUUCUAAAUCCUGAUGAGUUCACCCCCCUUGCCCUGACCAAUCAACAAUCCUAAUUCUCCAGUCCCUUGCCCUCCAUGAUCCUCUUAAAAACCCUAGCCCAGAAUUCCUCAGGAAGAUGGAUUUGAGGGUCUCC
rnacentral:lncRNA from 10 species